rnacentral:misc_RNA from 1 species
UUAAGUUCAGCGGGUAUUCCUACCUGAUCCGAGGUCAACCUUUGAUUGUAGGGGUUUUUACGGCCGGAAGCCCGCCGCGCGACCGGAGCGAGGUGUAUGCUACUACGCUCGGUGCUACAGCGAGACCGCCACUGUCUUUCAGGGCCCGCGGCAGCCGCGGGUCCCCAACACAAGCCCGGGGGGCUUGAUGGCUGAAAUGA